rnacentral:lncRNA from 1 species
CACGUCUAAUUUCUGAAGAUUCACAAGCACUGUUUUUUCCACAGGUGCCGCCUGCGAGCAGUUGCCGUGGCGGCCGCCAGCCCGCCAGACGCGGAGCUCCCAUGAGCCCAGGAGGUCGGCGUAGGAGCAGUUGGCCGGCGUGUCGGCCCGCAGCCCCGCGGGCAGCAUCGCCAGCACCGCCACCACGGCCCACAGCGCACAACCCGCCAUGACACCGAGCCGCCCCCCGCCGCUGCCGCCGCUGAAAUAGGCCCUGCGGCCUCGCCACCUCCACGCCCCCGGGCCUGGGCCUGGGCCCGCCCCGGAGCGAUGGCGCUGCGCCGGGAGGGGCCGGGUCUUUGUGCCUGCCCCCUGCGGGGGUCUGGGCCGCGCUGGGCUGUGGGUGCGGUCCGCCCUGCAAAGCG